rnacentral:rRNA from 1 species
GACAGAGGAUGCAAGCGUUAUCCGGAAUUACUGGGCGUAAAGGGUGCGUAGGCGGUUCGUUAAGUCUGUCGUGAAAUCCCCGGGCUCAACCUGGGAAUGGCGAUGGAUACUGGCGAGCUAGAGUGUGUCAGAGGAUGGUGGAAUUCCCGGUGUAGCGGUGAAAUGCGUAGAGAUCGGGAGGAACAUCAGUGGCGAAGGCGGCCAUCUGGGACAACACUGACGCUGAAGCACGAAAGCGUGGGGAGCAAACAGG